rnacentral:miRNA from 1 species
UAUAUUUAAAUUAUAAUAUAAUAUUUAAAAAGUACUUAUGAAAUAUAAAUAUAUUGUUUAAAAAUUAUAUAAAUAUAAUUUAAAAAUUAUUAAUGAUAU